AUUGAACGCUGGCGGCAGGCCUAACACAUGCAAGUCGAACGAGUGGCGGACGGGUGAGUAAUGUCUGGGAACCUGCCUGAUGUAGGGGGAUAACUACUGGAAACGGUAGCUAAUACCGCAUACCAUCGGAUGUGCCCUGGUGGGAUUAGCUAGUAGGGGGGGUAAAGGCGCACCUAGGCGACGAUCCCUAGCUGGUCGUCGAGGAUGACCGGCCACACUGGAACUGAGACACGGUCCAGACUCCUACGGGAGGCAGCAGGGGGGAAUAUUGCACAAUGGGCGCAAGCCUGAUGCAGCCAUGCCGCGUGUAUGAAGAAGGCUUUCGGGUUGUAAAGUACUUUCAGCGGGGAGGCGUUACCCGCAGAAGAAGCACCGGCUAACUCCGUGCCAGCAGCCGCGGUAAUAC
rnacentral:rRNA from 1 species